rnacentral:rRNA from 1 species
CACGGGGGGAGCAAGCGUUGUUCGGAAUCACUGGGCGUAAAGGGCGUCUAGGCGGUCAGGUAAGUGGGAUGUGAAAUCCCUCGGCUCACCCGAGGACCUGCAUCCCAAACUGCUUGGCUUGAGUAUGGGAGAGGAUGAGGGAAUUCCUGGUGUAGCGGUGAAAUGCUUAGAUAUGACAUAGAACACCAAUUGCGAAGGCAGCUCGCUACACAUAUAUUGACUCUGAGGCACGAAAGCGUGGGGAUCAAACAGG